rnacentral:rRNA from 1 species
UACGGGGGGGGGCAAGCGUUGUUCGGAAUUACUGGGCGUAAAGGGCUCGUAGGCGGCCAACUAAGUCGGAUGUGAAAUCCCCAGGCUCAACUGGGAACUGCAUCCGAUACUGGAUGGCUUGAAUUCGGGAGAGGGAUGCAGAAUUCCAGGUGUAGCGGUGAAAUGCGUAGAUAUCUGGAGGAAUACCGGUGGCGAAGGCGGCAUCCUGGACCGACAUUGACGGCUGAGGAGCGAAAGCCAGGGGAGCAAACGGG